CUAACUAGGAUUCCCUUAGUAACGGCGAGUGAACCGGGAUGAGCUCAAAUUUAAAAUCUGGCGUCUUUCAGGCGUCCGAGUUGUAAUCUAUAGAGGCGUUUUCCGCGCCGGACCGCGUCCAAGUCUCUUGGAAUAGAGUAUCAAAGAGGGUGACAAUCCCGUACUUGACGCGACAACCGGUGCUCUGUGAUACGUUCUCAAUGAGUCGAGUUGUUUGGGAAUGCAGCUCUAAAUGGGUGGUAAAUUCCAUCUAAGGCUAAAUAUUGGCGAGAGACCGAUAGCGAACAAGUACCGUGAGGGAAAGAUGAAAAGCACUUUGGAAAGAGAGUUAAACAGCACGUGAAAUUGUUAAAAGGGAAACGAUUGAAGUCAGUCGUGUGAAAGGUAUUCAGCCGUCUCUGGCGGUGUAUUUGCCUUUCACGGGUCAACAUCAGUUUGAUCCGGUAGAAAAAGGCGGGAGGAAGGUGGCACCCUCGGGUGUGUUAUAGCCUCCUGUCAUAUGUGCCGGACCAGACUGAGGAACGCAGCUUGCCGCAAGGCCGGGGUUCGCCCACGUACAA
rnacentral:rRNA from 1 species